rnacentral:rRNA from 1 species
UACGUCGGGUGCGAGCGUUCAUCGGAAUUACUGGGCGUAAAGCGUGCGCAGGCGGUUUUGUAAGCCAGAUGUGAAAGCCCCGGGCUUAACCUGGGAAUGGCAUUUGGGACUGCAAGGCUUGAGUGCGGCAGAGGAGACUGGAAUUCCUGGUGUAGCAGUGAAAUGCGUAGAUAUCAGGAGGAAUACCGAUGGCGAAGGCAGGUCUCUGGGCUGACACUGACGCUCAUGCACGAAAGCGUGGGGAGCAAACAGG